rnacentral:rRNA from 1 species
UGGGGAAUAUUGCACAAUGGGCGCAAGCCUGAUGCAGCCAUGCCGCGUGUGUGAAGAAGGCCUUCGGGUUGUAAAGCACUUUCAGCGGGGAGGAAGGCGUUAAGGUUAAUAACCUUGGCGAUUGACGUUACCGACAGAAGAAGCACCGGCUAACUCCGUGCCAGCAGCCGCGGUAAUACGGAGGGUGCAAGCGUUAAUCGGAAUUACUGGGCGUAAAGCGCACGCAGGCGGUUGAUUGAGUCAGAUGUGAAAUCCCCGGGCUUAACCCGGGAAUUGCAUCUGAUACUGGUCAGCUAGAGUCUUGUAGAGGGGGGUAGAAUUCCAUGUGUAGCGGUGAAAUGCGUAGAGAUGUGGAGGAAUACCGGUGGCGAAGGCGGCCCCCUGGACAAAGACUGACGCUCAGGUGCGAGAGCGUGGGGAGCAAACAGG